GGUGAGCACUCCUACGGGAGGCAGCAGUGGGGAAUAUUGCACAAUGGGCGCAAGCCUGAUGCAGCCAUGCCGCGUGUAUGAAGAAGGCCUUCGGGUUGUAAAGUACUUUCAGCAGUGAGGAAGGUGGAUAUGUUAAUAGCAUAUUCAUUUGACGUUAGCUGCAGAAGAAGCACCGGCUAACUCCGUGCCAGCAGCCGCGGUAAUACGGAGGGUGCGAGCGUUAAUCGGAAUUACUGGGCGUAAAGCGCAUGCAGGUGGUUUGUUAAGUCAGAUGUGAAAGCCCGGGGCUCAACCUCGGAAUUGCAUUUGAAACUGGCAAACUAGAGUACUGUAGAGGGGGUAGAAUUUCAGGUGUAGCGGUGAAAUGCGUAGAGAUCUGAAGGAAUACCGGUGGCGAAGGCGGCCCCCUGGACAGAUACUGACACUCAGAUGCGAAAGCGUGGGGAGCAAACAGGAUUAGAUAACCUGGUAG
rnacentral:rRNA from 1 species